AUUGAACGCUGGCGGCAGGCCUAACACAUGCAAGUCGAACGAGUGGCGGACGUGUGAGUAAUGUCUGGGAAACUUCCCGAGGGAGGGGGAUAACUAAUGGAAACGGUAGCUAAUACCGCAUACCAUCGGAUGUGCCGAGAUGGGAUUAGCUAGUGGGUGGGGUAACGGCUCACCUAGGCGACGAUCCCUAGCUGGUCUGAGAGGAUGACCAGCCACACUGGAACUGAGACACGGUCCAGACUCCUACGGGAGGCAGCAGUGGGGAAUAUUGCACAAUGGGCGAAAGCCUGAUCCAGCCAUGCCGCGUGUGUGAAGAAGGCCUUCGGGUUGUAAAGUACUUUAAGCUGGGAGGCGUUACCAGCAGAAGAAGCACCGGCUAACUCCGUGCCAGCAGCCGCGGUAAUUC
rnacentral:rRNA from 1 species